rnacentral:rRNA from 1 species
UACGUAGGGUGCAAGCGUUGUCCGGAAUUAUUGGGCGUAAAGAGCUUGUAGGCGGUUUGUCGCGUCUGCUGUGAAAUUUCGGGGCUCAACCCCGAACUUGCAGUGGGUACGGGCAGACUAGAGUGUGGUAGGGGAGACUGGAAUUCCUGGUGUAGCGGUGAAAUGCGCAGAUAUCAGGAGGAACACCGAUGGCGAAGGCAGGUCUCUGGGCCAUAACUGACGCUGAGAAGCGAAAGCGUGGGUAGCAAACAGG